AGCAGGCCCGGCGGUGCGUGAGCGCUCGACCUGCCUUCGCCUCGCAGGAACCCGAGUCCUGUUGGAGGGGCCAGGCGUGGGGACGGCGGCGCCUCUGCGUCUCGACUUGCGGACCCCUCCUGCCUCAGCCUGAAGAGCUGCCUGGUCUCCAGUCGAGGUUGUGGUUGGAGCUCUUUCCCUUGCACAUCUAGGAGUUCCCGGAGCCCGCCGCCUUGUUUCCGGUUCUGUGACUGGGUUCCUCAGUCCCACAUGGAGGUGUUCAGGGCAAGACAACUCAUUCACAACACCCUGAGACUUGGCAAUGGAGGAGCCAAAAUUUCCUAUCACAUAAGGAGGAUGGAAUCCAAGUUGAACAAUUAAAACAUUGUCCACAAUAGGUGAUUUAUUUAACAACAUUAAGGAAGACAAGUAUUUCUUCUCAAUGGAGCUGCCAUAGAGUGUUUCUUUUCCCCUAUGAAAAAUGUGGUAGACUUUAUCACAAAGAUACAGAUUUUUUGGUUAAAAAUACUAAAGAUUUUCUGUUAUCUGAUGUGGUAUGCAGCACAAUGCCAUUCUUUGGAGUGUCUAUGUCCUAAUUCCUAAAACCUGUGAAUAAAUUCAUCUAGGACAAAGAGAAUUAAGGUUACAAAUUAGGUGACAUUAAAAUAAGAGAUUAUCCUGGAUAAUCCGCAUGGACCCAAUGUGAUCACAGGAAUCUUUAGAGGCAGAACAGAGAGGCAGAGAAGAUAAGAGUGAUAUGAAAUGAGAAGGACUCUACAUCAUUGUUGGCUCUGAAGAUUGAGAAAAGAGUGUUGGGAGCCGCGUCUGUGAUAGCUCGCCUUGCGCGGCGGACGUGCGGCCUGUAGUAAAGAAUAAAGCCUGAGGUAGAUUACCCCUCCCAUCGAAUAUGUUAGUUUCCUGCUUACCGCGUAAGCAACCCGCUCAACAAUAUAGUCUGCCUGGCAACUGAUGAUGUUAGCCAAUCAGCUUGCCUUGCUUACUUUAACAUGAUUGGACACUGUACCCGUAUAUAUACCGGUGCCACCCCUGGGCGGAAGAAGAAGCCAGGUAGAAGCCCAGAAGUAAAAGCACAAAAGGAGCCGCGGAGAGCGGACCGGUAGAGGCUUUGGGGCAGACUGAAGCACAAAAGGAGCCGCGGGGAGCGGACCAGAGGAGGCUUCAGCUGGGAGAACCCAGGGCAGGCUGUACGGAGAAGGAAAAUAAAAAGAAAAGGUUGUCCACUACCAGACUUUGUCGUGUGUCCUUCCUGCCGGCCGGGAGCGGACAUCGACAAAAGAGGCCAAGAGUGACAGAUGUGGAUGGCCUCCAAAAGUAGAAAA